GAUGAACGCUGGCGGCGUGCCUAAUACAUGCAAGUCGAGCGAACGGACGAGAAGCUUGCUUCUCUGAUGUUAGCGGCGGACGGGUGAGUAACACGUGGAUAACCUACCUAUAAGACUGGGAUAACUUCGGGAAACCGGAGCUAAUACCGGAUAAUAUUUUGAACCGCAUGGUUCAAAAGUGAAAGACGGUCUUGCUGUCACUUAUAGAUGGAUCCGCGCUGCAUUAGCUAGUUGGUAAGGUAACGGCUUACCAAGGCAACGAUGCAUAGCCGACCUGAGAGGGUGAUCGGCCACACUGGAACUGAGACACGGUCCAGACUCCUACGGGAGGCAGCAGUAGGGAAUCUUCCGCAAUGGGCGAAAGCCUGACGGAGCAACGCCGCGUGAGUGAUGAAGGUCUUCGGAUCGUAAAACUCUGUUAUUGGGGAAGAACAUAUGUGUAAGUAACUGUGCACAUCUUGACGGUACCUAAUCAGAAAGCCACGGCUAACUACGUGCCAGCAGCCGCGGUAAUACGUAGGUGGCAAGCGUUAUCCGGAAUUAUUGGGCGUAAAGCGCGCGUAGGCGGUUUUUUAAGUCUGAUGUGAAAGCCCACGGCUCAACCGUGGAGGGUCAUUGGAAACUGGAAAACUUGAGUGCAGAAGAGGAAAGUGGAAUUCCAUGUGUAGCGGUGAAAUGCGCAGAGAUAUGGAGGAACACCAGUGGCGAAGGCGACUUUCUGGUCUGUAACUGACGCUGAUGUGCGAAAGCGUGGGGAUCAAACAGGAUUAGAUACCCUGGUAGUCCACGCCGUAAACGAUGAGUGCUAAGUGUUAGGGGGUUUCCGCCCCUUAGUGCUGCAGCUAACGCAUUAAGCACUCCGCCUGGGGAGUACGACCGCAAGGUUGAAACUCAAAGGAAUUGACGGGGACCCGCACAAGCGGUGGAGCAUGUGGUUUAAUUCGAAGCAACGCGAAGAACCUUACCAAAUCUUGACAUCCUUUGACAACUCUAGAGAUAGAGCUUUCCCCUUCGGGGGACAAAGUGACAGGUGGUGCAUGGUUGUCGUCAGCUCGUGUCGUGAGAUGUUGGGUUAAGUCCCGCAACGAGCGCAACCCUUAAGCUUAGUUGCCAUCAUUAAGUUGGGCACUCUAAGUUGACUGCCGGUGACAAACCGGAGGAAGGUGGGGAUGACGUCAAAUCAUCAUGCCCCUUAUGAUUUGGGCUACACACGUGCUACAAUGGACAAUACAAAGGGCAGCGAAACCGCGAGGUCAAGCAAAUCCCAUAAAGUUGUUCUCAGUUCGGAUUGUAGUCUGCAACUCGACUACAUGAAGCUGGAAUCGCUAGUAAUCGUAGAUCAGCAUGCUACGGUGAAUACGUUCCCGGGUCU
rnacentral:rRNA from 1 species